AUGAACGCUAGCGACAGGCCUAACACAUGCAAGUCGAGGGGCAGCACAAGGAGCAAUCUGAGGUGGCGACCAGCGCACGGGUGAGUAACACGUAUGCAACCUGCCUGUAAGCGGGGAAUAACCCGUUGAAAGACGGACUAAUACCGCAUAAUACUAAAUUACUGCAUGGUAAUUUAUUUAAACAUUUAUGGCUUACAGAUGGGCAUGCGCAUGAUUAGCUAGUUGGAGAGGUAACGGCUCCCCAAGGCAACGAUCAUUAGGGGUUCUGAGAGGAAGGUCCCCCACACUGGUACUGAGACACGGACCAGACUCCUACGGGAGGCAGCAGUGAGGAAUAUUGGUCAAUGGACGAGAGUCUGAACCAGCCAAGUCGCGUGCAGGAAGAAUGUCCCUAUGGAUUGUAAACUGCUUUUGCAGGGGAAUAAAGUGCAUCACGUGUGAUGUUUUGUAUGUACUCUGCGAAUAAGGAUCGGCUAACUCCGUGCCAGCCGCCGC
rnacentral:rRNA from 1 species